rnacentral:rRNA from 1 species
GUCCACGCUGUAAACGGUGAGUGCUCGUCGUCGUGGGUAUUGACCCCUGCGGUGACCAAGUUAACACAUUAAGCACUCCGCCUGGGAAGUACGGUCGCAAGACUAAAACUCAAAGAAAUUGACGGGGCCCGCACAAGCGGUGGAGCAUGUUGUUUAAUUCGAAGCAACGCGCAGAACCUUACCUGGAUUUGACAUCUCCGGAAUCUCCCUGAAAGGGGAGAGUGCCUUCGGGAACCGAAGACAGGUGCUGCAUGGCUGUCGU